AAACUAUAUCCAAAGGGGGCAUCAGAGACCCUAAGACUUUAAUUUCUUCUGAAAUCAGAGAUUGUGGAGUCAGUUUCCUUUUUUUCUAGCACAAUUAAUGAGGUGGUUAGCUCCACCCCAACCCCAGUUUAUCUUGGGUUUGUGCCAAAUUGUGAGCACAGCUCUGAAAGAGAUGGCAGCAGCAAACUUCUUGGAUAAGCUCCUGCUUUUCUUUAAGUGCUGCGAGGAAAGAGAACCUGUUCCAGCUGUUUGGAGCUAUAUGGUCUUUAGAAAUAUAAGCAGUAUUGCAGCAGAGUCUUGUUGAUGGGCAGAAGUCCUGAUGAGAUAAGAAUGCCAAACAUGCAAUAUAUGAUGAAAAUCACUGUCAUGAAGGAGUCACUGUCACGAAGGAGCCAUGUGUUGUUUUCAGUGUCUGUGCAGUUAUGAAUCUCCCUGUGUAUGCAGACAUACCAAGAGAAGCCAGAGAAGACAGUUCUGCAGUCACCACAAAUCUGAAGUUAUUCUCUGUGAAACUAUUGAAGUCUUGAACCUUCUAAGCAAGAAAUCUUUCUCCUAGAAGAGUCUCCCAGUUUAAUAAUUACAUUGUGUGGUAAACUUUUCCAGAGAAUUUACUGGGUGUUCCCUUUUCUUAGUUAUGCUCAUCCACCCUAGUACUAGCCCAUGUUUCAUGCUUUAUAUAUUCCUUGUCUCCUCAGCAUUUAAACCCUUCGCAUAAUUGCAGGCUCUUAUCAUCUCCCUGCCAGUCUCUCUCACUCACUCAUGUGCUGCUGCACUUCUAUAAUUAACCUAAAACAUCUUAAGUGUGCGCUGAAAGGGUAAAAAUCAUGGUGGGCACGGGGAGUCAGACGUGCAGCUAAAACAUCUUGUUACGAAGCUGAGAGGUUUAGGCACGGGCAGCGUAAGUGGAGAUGAGUGGCAGUCAAAGGAGUUUGUUCUUCUAAGUCUCUCACUCUCCAGGAGUAUUAUUUGCCACAUGUCUGUUCCAAAGAAAGAAUGAGAUUCUUACAUCCAUUCUGCAUCUCUCCUGUGAGGAAAAGCUGAGAGAAUUUGGAGUGUUCAUCCUGGAAAAAGGAAGGCUUUGGGUGACCUAAUUGUGGCCUUCCAGUACCUGGAAGUAGGCUACAAGAAAAACGGAGAGGGACUUCUUAAAAGGGCCUGGAGUGACAGGACAGGGGGAAUGGCUUCAAAGUGAAAGAGAGUAGAUUUAGAUUAGACAUUAGGAAGAAAUUAUUUUAAUUUGAAACGAAAGGACCCUGAAUCUACCAGCUGCUGCAAAGUAAGGUGAGAGUAUCCAGAUUGUUUCUCAGCUGCUUUUUAGUUUUCCAGAAUCAGAGACAGAUGUCUCAUGAUUACAACAAAAGCAGCAAUUUAACAGUCUAUUUUAAUUGCAUUCUCACUAAUGAAUUACCCUUUAAUAGAGGAAACCAUUAAAUCCUUUCUUUUGUGUUAACCUUUUUUACGUGCAUUUGCUUAUGCUGUGUGUGAAAGCAGGAGGACCAACAUUUCUUAAUCUGCACAGACUAAGAAGAGAAGGAAGCGAUGCUUUACAGAUGAGAAGCUAAGCUUCAGCAGGAUGAAGUCACCCUGGAAAUUAGCAUUUUCUGUGAGAAUUGAAUCCUGCUCCUGAAGACCAGUUCUGCCAUGGAAUAAGAAGCACUCCAUUGCUCUCAGAUAUGAGUACAUAAGAUUUUCUGAAUCUGUGGUCUAUGCAAAGAGUUUGCUUUGCCACAGUUCACAGAUACAUCUUUCUGAAGAAGUGUUGUGUUACAAGACCCAUGGACACUGCUGAUGCUAUGAGGAAUACAAAGAUAUUUGAUGAGUCUUAUAAAAUUGCGAUGGUUCCCACAUAGAAUUUUGCAAAGCUGUGAGAUGAUUUAGAUUUAAAAAUCUCAAUUAAUAACAGGGAGUGUAGUUUCUCAAUUACUAACAGAUGGUGUAGCUGCACUGUGUUACAUGGAGUUGAAGUAACUGGAUUCAGGUGUAGAACCGGAUGAUGCAGAGACUGUCUUGGAACUUUUUGUAAAAAUUAUUUAUCUUGCUAGAAAACCAAAGCUGCAUUAAAAUACAUUUACCCCA